rnacentral:rRNA from 1 species
GGGGAAUAUUGGACAAUGGGCGAAAGCCUGAUCCAGCCAUGCCGCGUGAGUGAUGAAGGCCCUAGGGUUGUAAAGCUCUUUUAACGGGGAAGAUAAUGACGGUACCCGUAGAAUAAGCCCCGGCUAACUUCGUGCCAGCAGCCGCGGUAAUACGAAGGGGGCUAGCGUUGCUCGGAAUCACUGGGCGUAAAGCGCACGUAGGCGGACUCUUAAGUCGGUGGUGAAAUCCUGGAGCUCAACUCCAGAACUGCCUUCGAUACUGGGAGUCUCGAGUUCGGGAGAGGUGAGUGGAACUGCGAGUGUAGAGGUGAAAUUCGUAGAUAUUCGCAAGAACACCAGUGGCGAAGGCGGCUCACUGGCCCGAUACUGACGCUGAGGUGCGAAAGCGUGGGGAGCAAAC